rnacentral:rRNA from 1 species
GGUUAAGCGACUAAGCGUACACGGUGGAUGCCCUGGCAGUCAGAGGCGAUGAAGGACGUGCUAAUCUGCGAUAAGCGUCGGUAAGGUGAUAUGAACCGUUAUAACCGGCGAUUUCCGAAUGGGGAAACCCAGUGUGUUUCGACACACUAUCAUUAACUGAAUCCAUAGGUUAAUGAGGCGAACCGGGGGAACUGAAACAUCUAAGUACCCCGAGGA